GUUUAUGAAGACAGAGAGGUAAAGAUAAAGAGACUGAAGCUUUCAGCCAAGUAUUUCAGCCAAAAUAACCCAAAGAAACGAGCUGGACGCAGACACUACAAAGCAGAGUUAUGGUUUCACACCAGCAACACGGUGAAGCGCCUUGCAGCGUUAUUCCGCACUAAGCAAUGGAGUGGAUGAGAAGAGAAGAAGUUCAUGCACCCCUCAAAUGGCUGAGAUCUUCACAGACAGCAUUCACAUGUUUCUCAACGACAUGUUAUAUAUGUUUUUUGACUUCCAGAGUGAUAACUUAUGAAACAUAACAGCUUCUAAUGCUGUCCAAAGCUUUCUUAUUAAAUAGAAUUUUUUUAUUGUGAUUGUGUAUUAAUGUUUCAAAUAUAUUUAAUUAAACUAUCAAGCUUAAGUUUCA